GCGUCGAUCUCCCUGAAGCAGCCCGUGCGUAUCUUUGUGAACUGCAACACAGACGUGGCGCCCUACCUCAGACAGGAGUUUGUCAGGAUCCGACCAGCCAGGAAAGGAGACAGGGAGGCCGUUGUGGCCGGUGAUGGGGAAUAUAUAAUCUAUUAUGCGCAUUUGCUUACAUUAUUAAAAACUAUGGAGGCCUUGACAGCAGAAAGUUCUCAGAAACCUGCAACCACAAUUGCCACAUUGUUUUUAGACAUGUCUCAUUUUAUUGUCUGACACCUCACCCCCUGAAACUGAGUUUGUGGGAAGACAAGACUAGGGAGAAUACUUUGUUGUUACUAGGGCAAGUUCAGGGUCAGGCUAUUGGAAGGGAGUGUUAGUAUAAAAAGCAGAGAUUGUUUUAGACACUUUGCAGAACUUAUGAAGAGCUAUACAAAUCCUGUUGACUCUGUAUUAACUUCUGCCUGCAAUUGCAUAGCUAAAGAUAUUUUACAUAUACUCAGAAGCCGUUGUCUGUGUCAUUUUCUAAAGUUUAAAGUUUGUUUAAGAAUAAGAGAAUAUCAGCACUGUGCAAAGAAUCCUCAACAUUUUGGCGAGCUAGCCAGGAGUGAGUGACCACCCGCCGUUGGAGUGAGUGUUGACCCACUGUGCCACGCAACUAAUUACUUAAAGUCUUGGGGGUGGAAAUACAGAACAUCCAAUUGAAGUCAACCAAUUCCUGGGUAAAUAUGCUGCAGGGCCUGGGUAGGAGGGCAACACCAAAUGGGUCCGGAAUAGUUCCCGAAACCUUCUUCAGCGGGUGAGCUGUUUGGUACUAUGGGUAAGCCUCUAUCAGAGGACGAUAUGACCUGUGGAUAUCUCCACUUUAUGAGACGUGAUAAAACUAACAAGGAACAAGGCAUAUUUGUAUAUAUUGCCACUAAAACAGGUACCAAUAAUGCAACUAUCCUAGGGAGCCUCUCUGACAAUGUGCACGUCCCCCAUAUUAAAGCUGACCCCUGGAUGGUUUGACGGCACUGACGAAACUGAAACAACUCAUGACUACUUCCCCAUCCUUGGGGCUCCCUAACCACUCUAUACCAGUUCAUCUGUUUGUGUGUGAAAAUAAUGGUUUUAUGUCCUCUGUUUUGACACAGGAACAUGGAGGAAAGCAGAGACCCGUGGGUUACUAUUCUAAGCAAUUGGACAGUGUGGCGAGAGUGUCUGGUGUGUUGUUUGAGGGUGGUGGCUGUGGAUACUCUCAUCUCACAGGCUAAGACUGCUCAUCUGACUCCAGCAAGGUUGCUACACUAUCAGAAUGUGCUUCUAACCAUGUCUAAUGUGACCCUGAAAAGGUGCACUGUGCUCAAUCAGGCUACAUUGUUGCCAACAAAAAAAGGACGGAGAAACCCAUGACUUUGCAGCUCUGGUGGAGCUUGUAUCAUUGUGGAAAGCGUGGGUUCCUCACAUCUCAUACUAACUCUUUUGAUCCUGUCUCCAAGGGCAACACAAUGGCUGAUCUGGAAGCAAAAGCAGCAGCUGUGUCUGCUGAUUCCUGUGUUGCAGAUGAUUUUGGUUCCUAUUAUGAAUCUCUUCUCCCCUACUGACAUCUCUGACUUGCAAUCCUCUGUAGGUCCUGUCGAGUUGAGGAAGUGGAAGAGGCUGUGUACAUAUGACAAUGUGCAGAAACUGUGGUUGGGCCCAGCUGGACUCCCAGUUCUGCCACGUUCUUGUUUUCCCUAGCUUGCUAAGUUGGCACAUUAUCUUUUUGUUCACCUGGUAAAGGAACGUUAGACGGAAAGACAGAGGUAGAGUAGUAGAGAUUGUAGAGGGAAACAAGUAUUUGAGGGGAAGAGAAAUGUACUGGGUGAUGGUGAUUGAGAGGGCUUCUGAGUUAAAGGAAACAGAUAUGUAGUUAGUGAAAGUAACAAAGAAAGUGGGAAAGAAAGGAAAUGGGAAGUUGAUUGGAAAGUAAAAUGGAAAGUAUAAUUAAUAUUUUGAAUUGUUUGGACUGAUUAAGAUGGUGAAACUCAUGGCAGAAACUGGCCUCCCCUGGGUCACGGUAAUGCCACUCGCAUUGAUGUACAUGAGGGGGCGGGCACACAGAACUACUGCGCUGGCCCCCCAUGAGAUUUUGAAUGAGAAUGCUAAAUACCCCUUUCCCACAGAACGAGCUGACCCUGAUGGGCUGCAAUGACGAUAUGGUAAGUUACUGCACUGCUCUAAACAAUGUUCGGAAGGCUAUUUUUUCCCAUGGUGAAAGCAGCCUUGCCUCAGCCACUGGUGGGAAUUCUACAUAAGCUUCAACCUGGUGACUGGGUAGUGGUCAAGGACCUGAAGAGGAAGCAUUGGAACCAGCAGAGGUGGACUGGACCGUUCCAGGUGUAGCUGAAAACCCCCACCGCUGUUCGAGUAGCUGAGAGGUCUAUGUGGAUCCACGCCAGCCACUGCAGGAGGGUGCCAUACCAAUAGGGGGAUGAUGUACUUCAGGAUGGCGCAGGGUCGUUGUCGAGGGACUAGAUGGCCAUGGGAGAGCCAAGCUGACACUCUGCGCAUCAUGUUUUUUAAAAUUUUGUCUUGAGCCUUCUCAUUACAGUUACUGUUGUGGAAAAUAAUCACUAUACUUUAUUAAAAUCAAAGUUCUUCCAGA